UUCUCAACAUACAUAUAUACUGCUAAAUAUAUAUAUAGAGAUUAAGCUGUAGACAAGCACAAUGAAUGUUGGAUUAAUCAGAGAACAGAACUACAACAUUUAAAUCACUAGACAACACAAGAAAGGAUGUGCCUACAUGAGUA